rnacentral:tRNA from 1 species
ACAUUGUAAUUUAUUUAAAAUAUAAAAUUGCAAAUUUUAAAAUGCUUUAAAGCCAAUUGUG